AUACGUAGGUGGCGAGCGUUAUCCGGAAUUAUUGGGCGUAAAGGGUGCGCAGGCGGUUUGAAAAGUUUAAGGUGAAAGCGUGGGGCUUAACCCCAUACAGCCUUAGAAACUGUCAGACUAGAGUACAGGAGAGGGCAAUGGAAUUCCAUGUGUAGCGGUAAAAUGCGUAGAUAUAUGGAGGAACACCAGUGGCGAAGGCGGUUGCCUGGCCUGUAACUGACGCUCAUGCACGAAAGCGUGGGGAGCAAAUAGGAUUAGAUACCCUAGUAGUCCACGCCGUAAACGAUGAGAACUAAGUGUUGGGGAAACUCAGUGCUGCAGUUAACGCAAUAAGUUCUCCGCCUGGGGAGUAUGCACGCAAGUGUGAAACUCAAAGGAAUUGACGGGG
rnacentral:rRNA from 1 species